AUUGAACGCUGGCGGCAUGCCUUACACAUGCAAGUCGAACGGUAACAGGGUGCUUGCACCGCUGACGAGUGGCGAACGGGUGAGUAAUGCAUCGGAACGUACCGUGUAGUGGGGGAUAACGUAGGGAAAGUUACGCUAAUACCGCAUACGCCCUGAGGGGGAAAGCGGGGGAGCUUCGGACCUCGCGCUAUAUGAGCGGCCGAUGUCGGAUUAGCUAGUUGGUGGGGUAAAGGCCUACCAAGGCAACGAUCCGUAGCGGGUCUGAGAGGAUGAUCCGCCACACUGGGACUGAGACACGGCCCAGACUCCUACGGGAGGCAGCAGUGGGGAAUUUUGGACAAUGGGCGAAAGCCUGAUCCAGCCAUGCCGCGUGAGUGAAGAAGGCCUUCGGGUUGUAAAGCUCUUUCAGCUGGAAAGAAAACGCUUGGGAUAAUACCCCAGGCGGAUGACGGUACCAGCAGAAGAAGCACCGGCUAACUACGUGCCAGCCGCCGCAGUAAGAC
rnacentral:rRNA from 1 species